UCUUGUCCAUUCUUUGAUUGUGUUAUAGAACCUUUUGAUGUGUGUUUUCUUUGUGCUAGGAGUUCCAACUUGAGCUUAAUUGAGGAACCAUUACCAUGAGCUUCUAAGAGAGAGAGAUCCAAGAUACAUUGAGGAGUCUUUCCAAGAGUUCAUUUUAUUGUUGAUUGCUUGAGUUUAUGCUUUGUGUGAUUGCUUAUUCCAAAGGAUGGGAGCUACUUGGAUCAUCAAUAUGAUCUCAAGAAGGGAACUCCAUUAUGGUCUUA
rnacentral:lncRNA from 1 species